UACGUAGGGUGCGAGCGUUAAUCGGAAUUACUGGGCGUAAAGCGUGCGCAGGCGGUUUUGUAAGUCAGAUGUGAAAUCCCCGGGCUUAACCUGGGAACUGCGUUUGAAACUACAAGGCUAGAGUGUGGCAGAGGGGGGUGGAAUUCCACGUGUAGCAGUGAAAUGCGUAGAUAUGUGGAGGAACACCGAUGGCGAAGGCAGCCCCCCUGGGAUAACACUGACGCUCAUGCACGAAGCGUGGGGAGCAACAGG
rnacentral:rRNA from 1 species